UACGUAGGGGGCGAGCGUUGUCCGGAAUUAUUGGGCGUAAAGGGUACGUAGGCGGUUAGAUAAGUUUGGUGUGAAAGCCCGAGGCUCAACCACGGGAAGCACUGAAAACUGUUUAACUUGAAUAGUGGAAGGGAUUGUGGAAUUCCUAGUGUAGCGGUGAAAUGCGUAGAGAUUAGGAAGAAUACCAAUGGCGAAAGCAACAAUCUGGACACAUAUUGACGCUGAGGUACGAAAGCGUGGGGAGCAAACAGG
rnacentral:rRNA from 1 species